AUUGAACGCUGGCGGAAUGCUUUACACAUGCAAGUCGAACGGCAGCACGGGGGCAGUCCUGGUGGCGAGUGGCGAACGGGUGAGUAAUACAUCGGAACGUGCCCGGUCGUGGGGGAUAACGUAGCGAAAGUUACGCUAAUACCGCAUACGAUCUGAGGAUGAAAGCGGGGGACCUUCGGGCCUCGCGCGAUCGGAGCGGCCGAUGUCAGAUUAGGUGGUUGGUGGGGUAAAGGCCUACCAAGCCGACGAUCUGUAGCUGGUCUGAGAGGACGACCAGCCACACUGGGACUGAGACACGGCCCAGACUCCUACGGGAGGCAGCAGUGGGGAAUUUUGGACAAUGGGCGCAAGCCUGAUCCAGCCAUUCCGCGUGCAGGACGAAGGCCUUCGGGUUGUAAACUGCUUUUGUACGGAACGAAAAGGCUCUGGCUAAUACCUGGGGCUCAUGACGGUACCGUAAGAAUAAGCACCGGCUAACUACGUG
rnacentral:rRNA from 1 species